rnacentral:lncRNA from 1 species
UUUAAGGCCUCACACAGAGGUGCCAAUGGUCUGGAACAGGGCCCAUGGGCUGGUAAAUACAGGAUGAAUGAGCAAUCCUCAGGUCUGUGGAAUGAGAAUUUUUGAGAGCCUUGCACUUUUCUUCAAGGUUCAGUGUCAGUGGCAUGUUUGUGGGUAGACAUCACUGAAUGCCUUUUAUUUUCUUUUGAGACAAAGUCCCUGUGGUAGUUUGAACGAGAAAUGUCCCCAUAGGCUUGAAUAACUGAACAAUUUGGUCUCCAGUUGGCAAUGUUACUUGGGGAGGUUUUGGAGGCAUGGCCUUUCUGGAAGAACUAUGUCAAUGGAAGCAGGCCUUGAGAGUUUAAACCCUUCUCUGCUUCCAGUUUGUUCUCUCUCCUUUGUGCCUACAGUUGAGGAAAUAAGUGUCCUGACUAUUCUGUCUGCUUCUUGCUGCCACAAUGCCCCACCAUGAGGACACUUCUCCCUCUGGAACCAUAAGUCCAAAUAAACCCUUCCUUCUACAACUUGCCUUGGUCAGCUGUUUUAUCACCACAACAGAAAAGUAACUACUAUGACAGUCCCUAUACACCAUCCUGGCUAACUUGGAACCCACAGGUAGAACUGAGUGGCUUUGAACUUGCAGCAAUCCUCCAGCCUGUCUCCUGAGUGCUGGUACUACGGGCUUUCACUGCCAACACCAUGCCCAGGACAUCAAAUGUCACCCUCAGGCCUAUAGUUUUCUGCCUUGGGUUUUGGGGAUGAACAGCAGAAUGAGAGCCAUCCUCUGAGUGCAGAUCUGCACAAAGUUAUGUAACCCUGAUCAAAGCUAGGGCAGGAACGCAGGCAUGGUCCCAGUCAGCAGCUCUGAUGACUCCUGGGUGAGUCACUGCUGGGAAAACAGCAGGAGAUAGUCUAUGUAAUCAAGAAGAAAUCCUUCCCUGGGGCAUUCUCCCUGGUAAAUAGUCCCUUGCCACGAGCCUCUGUGAUCCUUUACCCAGCUGCAGAGGUGAAGAGGGCUGGGGACUGUCUGGAACAUCACCUGGGGGUAUUUCACAGGGCCCCCUCAUUCUGGAGGAACAGCCAGCAGAACGGUUUCCACCAUCCUCUUGCUCUAUGUCUGGCUGCUGAAAAACAAAGUUCUAGAAGAAAUUCUGUCAGUCCUGCUGUCUGAGAGAAGCCCUGUGGUAUGAACUUGCCUGCCUCCAAAGGAUAGCUACAGCCUUGUUCCAAGACAACACUUCCAACUCCACCCCUGCCCCAAGUCCUUGGAGAAACAGCAACAUGGCCUCUCUUGCUCUUUGGAGACUGCUGUAGCCAGUGCCUUCUGCUUUGUUUCAGGAUCCUGUGACUUGGGCGUGCACCUGAAGCAGUCUUUACUCGAUUGCUUCUUUGAUUUCCUC